GGCUCGGUAGCUCAGUUGGUAGAGCAAUGGAUUGAAGCUCCAUGUGUCGGC
rfam:Lactobacillus harbinensis DSM 16991 NODE_248, whole genome shotgun sequence.